rnacentral:misc_RNA from 1 species
GUAGGUGAACCUGCGGAGGGAUCAUUACUGAGUGAGGGAGCAGUCCCGACCUCCAACCCUUUGUGAACGCAUCAUGUUGCUUUGGGGGCGACCCUGCCGUCCGCGGCAUUCCCCCCGAAGGUCAUCAAAACACUGCAUUCUUACGUCGGAGUAUAAAGUUAAUUUAAUAAAACUUUCAACAACGGAUCUCUUGGUUCUG